rnacentral:rRNA from 1 species
AUUGAACGCUGGCGGCAGGCCUAACACAUGCAAGUCGAGCGGAGCGGCGGACGGGUGCGUAAGGCCUAGGAAUAUGCCUGGUAGCGGGGGAUAACGACCGGUAACGGGCGCUAAUACUGCUCACUAUCAGAUGAGACUAGAUCGGAUUAGCUAGUUGGUGGGGUAAAGGCCUACCAAGGCGACGAUCCCUAUCUGGUCUGAGAGGAUGAUCAGUCACACUGGAACUGAGACACGGUCCAGACUCCUACGGGAGGCAGCAGUGGGGAAUAUUGGACAAUGGGCGAAAGCCUGAUCCAGCCAUGCCGCGUGUGUGAAGAAGGUCUUCGGAUUGUAAAGCACUUUUAGUUGGGAGGCGUUACCAACAGAAUAAGCACCGGCUAACUUCGUGCCAGCAGCCGCGGUAAUUC